UACGUAGGGGGCAAGCGUUGUCCGGAUUCAUUGGGCGUAAAGAGCGUGUAGGCGGCCAGGUAGGUCGGUUGUGAAAACUGGAGGCUCAACCUUCAGACGUCGACCGAAACCAUCUGGCUAGAGUCCGGGAGAGGAGAGUGGAAUUCCUGGUGUAGCGGUGAAAUGCGCAGAUAUCAGGAGGAACACCGGUGGCGAAGGCGGAUCUCUGGGCCUGUUCUGACGCUGGAGGCGCGAAAGCUAGGGGAGCGAACAGG
rnacentral:rRNA from 1 species